GGAGAAGACUGCUCCGUCCAGCAGCAGACACAGAGAAAGAUGAUGGCCAACUCUCAGGAAACCAGAUCUCCCCUAAUCCCCAAAUUGUGUCUCCUGGGGAUCGUUAACCAAACAUCUUGUCCACAGCUUAAUUGCAGCCAAUUAUGCCAGCAGGGAAAAGUGCACCUUCAUUGUCUGGACACAAAGCAAAGCUGAGCAGGAGAGCUGGAUCAAUCUACUCAGAGAAAAUGUAACAAAUGGGGCUUUGUUCUGGCAGAAGAACACCAAUGGAGUUGGGUUGCAAUGAGCACUCAUGUCGAUGUGUCUGCUGUCUGAUGGGAUGCCUCCAGCAGAGCCCAGCAGCAGUUCGUAAUGGAGAACACUUCAUGAAGCAGAGAAGUUUGUCUCAGUGUGCGCAGAGGCUUUCCUAAGACUUUUCCCUGAGACAUCUCUAUUUCAGCCCUGUUUCUGAAAAUAAAUUAAUGAC
rnacentral:lncRNA from 7 species